UAAAAGGUAGCUAUUUGUAUGGAAUCGGAUCGUUUGCCUACGUUUGCCGCUAGGGGCGCUGUUCCAACUGCAUACAAAAUUGGGCUA
rnacentral:pre_miRNA from 1 species